rnacentral:rRNA from 1 species
CCUUAGUACGAGAGGAACGGGGCGCCGCGGCCUCUAGUGUACCGGUUGUCCGGCUGGGCAGCGCCGGGCAGCCACGCCGUAGGGGGUAACCGCUGAAAGCAUCUAAGCGGGAACCCCUCCCCGAAAAGAGGCGGCCAUCCGCCCCGAAAGGGGCGGCGAGGGCUCCCGUAGAAGACGGGGUUGAUGGGGCGGGGGUGUAAGCUCCAAGGGGGCUCGGCCCCCGAGGAGUUCAGCCCGCCGCUCCCAAUCGCCCGAGGCCGCAGGGGU